rnacentral:rRNA from 1 species
UACGAAGGGGGCUAGCGUUGCUCGGAAUCACUGGGCGUAAAGGGUGCGUAGGCGGGUUCUUAAGUCAGAGGUGAAAUCCUGGAGCUCAACUCCAGAACUGCCUUUGAUACUGAGAGUCUUGAGUUCGGGAGAGGUGAGUGGAGCUGCGAGUGUAGAGGUGAAAUUCGUAGAUAUUCGCAAGAACACCAGUGGCGAAGGCGGCUCACUGGCCCGAUACUGACGCUGAAGCACGAAAGCGUGGGGAGCAAACAGG